CAUCAGUGGCGAAGGCGACCACCUGGACUGAUACUGACACUGAGGUGCGAAAGCGUGGGGAGCAAACAGGAUUAGAUACCCUGUAGUCCACGCCGUAAACGAUGUCAAACUAGUUGUUGGGUUCCUUGAGGACUUAGUAACGCAGCUAACGCAUUAAGUUGACCGCCUGGGGAGUACGGCCGCAAGGUU
rnacentral:rRNA from 1 species